AAAUUGUGAGAUAUCUAUACAAUGGAAUAGUACUGCACAAUAAAAAGAACUAAGCUACCGACUACAACAUGGACGACUCUUCAAAAGCAUUAUGCUAAGAAUGAAAGACGUUAGACCCAAAGACAUACAUACGCUACUGUUCCAAGCAUAUGAAAUUCUGGAAAAGGAGAUUUACAUUAAACACAUAUUUCUUGCUGGGCACUGACGGAGGAAGAUGCACCGCUAGCAUACA
rnacentral:lncRNA from 1 species